rnacentral:rRNA from 1 species
AUACGUAGGGGGCAAGCGUUAUCCGGAUUUACUGGGUGUAAAGGGAGCGUAGACGGCGAUGCAAGUCUGAAGUGAAAACCCGGGGCUCAACCCCGCGGACUGCUUUGGAAACUGUAUUGCUGGAGUGCAGGAGAGGUGAGUGGAAUUCCUAGUGUAGCGGUGAAAUGCGUAGAUAUUAGGAGGAACACCAGUGGCGAAGGCGGCACACUGGACUGUAACGGACGUUGAGGCUCGAAAGCGUGGGGAGCAAACAGGAUGAGAUACCCGGGUAGUCCACGUCGUAAACGAUGAAUGUUAGGUGUCGGGGGGCAAAGCCCUUCGGUGCCGCCGCUAACGCAUUAAGCAUUCCACCUGGGGAGUACGUUCGCAAGAAUGAAACUCAAAUGAAUUGACGGGG